rnacentral:rRNA from 1 species
UAGAGAUAGCUGGUUAUUCAGGAAAAGAAUAUUAGUUCUACUUUAAACCUUUAUAUAAUGCCAAAUACACCCACAGGUUUAAAUUUUAUUCAAAUAAGGUACAGCCUAUUUGAAACAGGAUACAACCUAAAACAGAGGGUAAUGUCAAAACUAACGUGACUAAGUAGACCUAAAAGCAGCCAUCUUUAAAAAAGCGUUAAAGCCUUAUCACACCCCCUCAAUUAAUAUCAACCUAAACCCAAAACCCCUCAUCCAUACUGAAUUACUCCAUACUCAUAUGGAAGACCCCAUGUUUGAACUAGUAACAAGAAUAACUUUCCCAUAAACGUAAAUGUAAGUCGGAAUGGACCACCCACCGACACUUACCGCCAAUGAGCCCACAGUAACAACUUCCUCAAGAAAACUUUACUUUCUCCCCAACGUUAACCUUACACAAGAACUUUACUGGAAAGAUUAAAAAAAGAGGAAGGAACUCGGCAAACACUAACCCCGCCUGUUUACCAA